rnacentral:lncRNA from 1 species
AAGUUCACAAUAACGAUAUGAGAAAACACCAAACCUAGCGGAUUAAAGUAAAACUUGUUUUGCCCAUAGUGUGAGGAUACUUAAACUUUUUCCUGUUUUAUUUGUUAGUCUUGGAGGUAUCCUGCAAAUCAAUAUUUAUGAAUAAGUUUUUAAUAAAAAUAUUGAGGUAGUAAAGGUUUGAACACACAGAAUUGGAUGUCUUUUAUUGAAAGAAAGAACAACGUAAAAAGGAAGGUCAGGCGUGAUAAAUUCAAUAAUAAAUGCAUGCUAACAAUAAUAUAACAGUUCUCCAUAUUGAUAUCAUACCUUAGCUUCUUCUAAAUUCCAAUACACAAGGAGAUCCU